CAUGGCGGCCCCGCAGCGAGCGACGGUGGCGGGAGCGCGUUAUGAGGCGAUCCUGAGGCCAGGCGAGUCCUGCCGAGGUCCUUGCCUUAAUAGUUGCUGUUUGCAGAGUUUAGCUGCUCAGAGUGUUUACUGAGUAUUUGCUCACCAGCUGUCUGACCCCUUCCAUCCACUGCCGGUGUAAAGAGGGUUUCAUCGGAUCCCACUAAAACCCAGGAGCUUAUUUUAAGACCGUAGACUCUAUGAGGCCCCUGGAGCAUUUGUGUUUCUUAUCCUUGUGCAUCACUCAGUUCCACAUUCACUGAGGUACUCUCCUUGUUAAGCUUCUAAAAGGCUUUCAAAUUAACCAUAUGCAGGACUAUACAGGACACAGAUAAGUCACAAAGCACCUUUUCUGCUUUGUAUGCUCUUGACUAUGGGUAUCGAUCCGUAAGCAUUACUCAAUGCUUGGCUUUAACCCAAACAUAUACAUAUAUUUAAUUGCAGCUUUUAAACAUUAAUAGACUUUGUUUGUUAGGGCAGAGGACCGUGCAGCCAUGAUAAAGGAGACAUUUUAGUACUGUAAGAUUGAUUGAGACUGCAGCAGUUUCACUGCUGACAGCAGUUUGUAUAGGAAGAUGGAUUGUAUGUAUCCAGUGAUUCAGUCUCCCUGUGAGGAUUUCUCAUGUUCAGAAAUCAUGGUCAGAGCCGCAGCUCUAAGAUUUCUUUUAAAUCCAGAUUCAAAAUAAACGUUCUAAUUUUGCCAACAUAGCGUCCCUCAGUUGAAGACUGCAGAGUGAAAUACAGGUAAGCAAGAGAUCUGCGAGUGGGAAGUUCACGAGUCAGCCUGAAAUUUAACAGAUAGAGACCUCAAGGUCUAAAUAAUCACAAGGACAAGCAAAGAAAGGAUGAUAAACGUGCAGUUAGUGCUCUAAAAAUUGAGUGGGACACCAUUAGAUCCCCUGGAUCCAUGGGCUCAAACCCAGCAAAAGCACUUUCAGGCCUUUGUUCCCAUGAAGUAGACAAAUUACCUUCCAGGUGGCUUUCUGUGUUGUCAGAUUUCAGAAAAUACCCUGACAUUCCAGCUGGUCAGGGAGCCGGAGCCCACUUGGUGUGGUCAUGCUGCCCUGCUGCUGAAGAGUAAGUUGUCUUGCUGGGAUUAUUGGCAUGUAUCACCCUUCAUUAUUAAAAUGAGGUCUUUAUAAACACUUUCAGUCUGAGUGAUUCCUGGGACCAUAAACCAGUUGCAGGGAGCAGAGAUACAGGAUGUGCAUUUGUGUGUCCUUCAUAACAACAGCAAGUAUAAAGGGAAAUCGGCAGCCAUUAAUCAUUCAGUGUGUAGAUCUUCGAGAUGUAAAGGACUGACCUUCUUGUUGUAGUUUCCCUUUAUAUGUGAUCUAGGAGCUUAUCAGAAGGGGAGAGAUGUGAGGUCCUCAGAGCUCACCUGGAUUUACCUGAAUAGGUGAAGUGUUGCUGCCUCCAGACGCCACGUUAUGUCUGCUGUCCCAAUUAAACCAGUGUGAAAUACCUGUCCAUCUACAACACAUCUCCUGAAUCCCUCCUGAAGUUGCCCUAACUGCCUAAAUUCCUGUGGUGUUGAGGAGUUUAGAACUGCCCAGCAUUGAACAUACACAUGGACAACGAAUAACAUCUCUCUACUGGAUUGUACAAAAUAAAAACAAAGCCCUGGCAUUUCCACAGCUGCCUAAGAGGAGAAAGGAGCCUGAGAAAAGGCAGUCUGUAGGUCACCAGCUGUGACAGUUUUUCUUCUGGAGUAUGAAGUGAAGACAACACUGAACUGAGCAGACCCUGGGUUUCUAUCCUAGAAGGUAAAAAAAUCCUUAAGAAAUGCUGUCUGCCACCACCUAGUGGAAAAUACCACUUCAGUUUUCUUUGACCUACAUGGAUUUUUAGUUGAUCUUGUGGACAGUCCUGACUGGAUUGCUGUUUUUUUUCCUACCCCCAUAGUGCUAUACAGAAUUAGAGCUUGCAAAAAAAUUCAUUCUAAGAAGUAUUUAAAAACUUAACGACAUACUUCCUGAUCUGAGCUAAAUCCUCCAUUUUGUUAUCUGCAAAUGGAGAUUCUGAGACCCAGGAAGAGUUCUAUGAGGUUUAAUUAGUGCAAAGUGCUCUCAAUGCCAAUAGGUCUUUUUGCUCCAAGGACCUCAGACUGCUUUGGUCCAAGUACUCAAAUUACUGAGGUUUCAGCCAGCGAUCCAAGAGGGAGAUGUACUGCUGUGCUUGCUAUAUAGAAAGAUAAAUCGCAGGGGCUGCAAAGUUACAGUUGCCAGAAUUCACAUAAUAAAUCAAUAAGCAAAGAGAAGAAAAAUUCUGCAUAGCCGCAGAAUUGUUGGAUCCCUACUGUUCUCAUCAAGAUGGUCUUCGCUCUGAUAGCUUUCAGAGAGAGGAGGCCCUCCUUGGCUUUUGUGCAUGCAUGUAUUCUGCAAAUGGAGUCCAGAUUCUGGCAGAACAACCCAGGAGCUUCCCGUGCUGCUCACAGGAGGGCUGCUCUGAUCACACUGCUGCGCGGAACGCACAGUGUGCAUCAAAACGUUGUUGGCAAAUGUGGGGAAGUGCAAGUAAUAGGGAAUGCUUACAGCAACACUAAACCAGCUCGUGCUCUGGAUGGGAAGCGAAUUUUCUUGAUGCUGUUUGGUACCUCAGGGGCUGUACCAAAGAGAUGGGACUGAACCUUCUGUCAGGUGUAAGGCCUGAGGAUGGAGAAGACAGACUUAGCCACAUCUCAGAGCUCACUCCUAGUCUUCCUGUCACACACAAUGGGGAGUCCUUACACAUUGGGAAGAGUAGAUGCAGGAAAGCAGCAUGCCUUUGUCCUCCCUGUUCCCUUUUUCUAUCAGGUUCCAGCUGCCAAUACUGCUGAAUUGCUGGAGCCAUGUCUCCUGACCCUGAGAUUUCAUGAUGGCAGCAGCAGAACUGCAAAAAGCACGUGGCUAACAGCUCUGGACAUUUUUGCUUUGCUGCUCCACGUUCACACUGGCAUUUUGCUUGCAGCCACCCAUCAGAUGAAGCCUGUGUCACUGGGAGCAGUGAUGUUCAGGCAGGAGAAAUGCUGAGUUUUGCCAUCUUAUAUCAAGAUCGUGACUGGCUGCUGUUCAAAGCUGUAGCAGUAAAUGGAGCUUCUGUUGACAAAUGUGUACGGACAGAGCCGGGCCAAGAAUGACUUAUUCUUACUUAACUCACUUCCAGAAGGGUGUGGGCAUUGUGCUAUGUGAAAAUCAUUUGGAAGGCCAUUAGAGGAGUUUUGCAGCAUAGUGUGAAAUAGGUUACGUUAAGUCACCUCCCCUGGGAAUUCAAAUGAAGAUCCUUUGCUUUGUAAAGGUCAGCAGCACUUUUGUGGUUGUUUACUCGUAUCUCAGAGCAGUGAUAACAGACAAUCCUUGCCUUAACCUUUUCAUUACUUCCAGUCUGUUCAGGGAGGACGAUCUGGGACGGUGGCGUUGCUUUUAUCUGCGAUCUGCUGUGACUCAUUUUGUUCAUCACAUGGUAACAAAAACAAGCAGUGAUGUCAGGAAUGAUAGAAAAGUGAUUGUUGCGGAAUCAAUCCCCUCUAGCAAGUGGCAGAAGACAAAAUAAAUGAGUGUAGCACUGAGGCAUGAGUCAGAGAUGGAAACAGGACCGCAACAAGCCCUCUAAAAGCUUCUUCUGAGCUGUCACUGUCCGAACCACGCUGACAGGAUGCUUCAUGGGAAUCGUCACUGCCUUGGCUAGAAGAACUCGCUGAGGCAGGAGGGAUUGCUGGGCCCGAACCAGGGCUCAGUGGGCAAAUGCAGAGCUGGAAACUGUGGCAAUCUUCUCCAGUUCCUUCUUUCCCUGACAGCUGAACUAACACUUGUCACAGGAGUGCAAAGUAGGCAAUUACAGCAAGCGUGGAUGCCACAGGGCUGGGUGGGCUCGCUAUUUAUAGCUUCCUACUGAGGGAGUUUUCCCACUGUGCCACUCUGCACACAGGGUAAGGUACAGUCCAUGCCUUGAAGGGCUCACAGUGCAGAUAAAAUUAGAAAAAGGAAGGAGAAGCAGCCUCUUGUGAUGAGAGCCAAGACUCAGGAGAUGAAAGGACAAAAAGGAAAUUCACAGGAGCCUGGAACAAUGAACUCCAACUUCUCCCCAGCAAUCUGCCCUUCCUCUGGUUAACUCUUCCCUGCCUCAAAUCCGGCCUCUCUGCUACUCAUCAUAAUUAGUGCCAGUUUGAUACGUCAGGAAGAGGAGUUUUUCCAAGUUCUGACCUGUCUUCCCACUGUUAAAUUAUUUUCCCUCUGGCAGCUGUGGUGAAGGGACGUGCACGCAGCCUGUAUUCCCUCCUGGUUCAGUGCUUCCAGCCCAAUGAAAGAGGGAUGGGAAGCGCCCGGACUGCUCAAGGAAUGAUAAACUCCCUGGAGAGCAGCAGGCCAUCAGCUUCAAGAAUUCACCACCUCAGACAGCUGUGGAUGUGAGUCAAAAACAGACGUCCU